rnacentral:tRNA from 1 species
GGUAUAAUGGCUGAAUUGAAAGCGAUAAAUUGUAAAUUUAUUUAUGAACAUUGGUUCUUU